rnacentral:rRNA from 1 species
UACGUAGGGUGCAAGCGUUGUCCGGAUUUAUUGGGCGUAAAGAGCUCGUAGGCGGCUUGUCGCGUCGACCGUGAAAACUUGGGGCUCAACCCCAAGCCUGCGGUCGAUACGGGCAGGCUCGAGUUCGGUAGGGGAGACUGGAAUUCCUGGUGUAGCGGUGAAAUGCGCCAGAUAUCAGGAGGAACACCGAUGGCGAAGGCAGGUCUCUGGGCCGAUACUGACGCUGAGGAGCGAAAGCGUGGGGAGCGAACAGG